rnacentral:rRNA from 1 species
AACGCUGGCGGMWGGCCUAACACWUGCAAGUCGAGCGGUAGCACAGAGAGCUUGCUCUCGGGUGACGAGCGGCGGACGGGUGAGUAAUGUCUGGGAAACUGCCUGAUGGAGGGGGAUAACUACUGGAAACGGUAGCUAAUACCGCAUAACGUCGCAAGACCAAAGUGGGGGACCUUCGGGCCUCAUGCCAUCAGAUGUGCCCAGAUGGGAUUAGCURGUAGGUGGGGUAACGGCUCACCUAGGCGACGAUCCCUAGCUGGUCUGAGAGGAUGACCAGCCACACUGGAACUGAGACACGGUCCAGACUCCUACGGGAGGCAGCAGUGGGGAAUAUUGCACAAUGGGCGCAAGCCUGAUGCAGCCAUGCCGCGUGUGUGAAGAAGGCCUUCGGGUUGUAAAGCACUUUCAGCGGGGAGGAAGGCGGUGAGGUUAAUAACCUCRYCGAUUGACGUUACCCGCAGAAGAAGCACCGGCUAACUCCGUGCCAGCAGCCGCGGUAAUACGGAGGGUGCAAGCGUUAAUCGGAAUUACUGGGCGUAAAGCGCACGCAGGCGGUCUGUCAAGUCGGAUGUGAAAUCCCCGGGCUCAACCUGGGAACUGCAUUCGAAACUGGCAGGCUAGAGUCUUGUAGAGGGGGGUAGAAUUCCAGGUGUAGCGGUGAAAUGCGUAGAGAUCUGGAGGAAUACCGGUGGCGAAGGCGGCCCCUGGACAAAGACUGACGCUCAGGUGCGAAAGCGUGGGGAGCAAACAGGAUUAGAUACCCUGGUAGUCACGCUGUAAACGAUGUCGAUUUGGAGGUUGUGCCCUUGAGGCGUGGCUUCCGGAGCUAACGCGUUAAAUCGACCGCCUGGGGAGUACGGCCGCAAGGUUAAAACUCAAAUGAAUUGACGGGGGCCCGCACAAGCGGUGGAGCAUGUGGUUUAAUUCGAUGCAACGCGAAGAACCUUACCUGGUCUUGACAUCCACAGAACUUUCCAGAGAUGGAUUGGUGCCUUCGGGAACUGUGAGACAGGUGCUGCAUGGCUGUCGUCAGCUCGUGUUGUGAAAUGUUGGGUUAAGUCCCGCAACGAGCGCAACCCUUAUCCUUUGUUGCCAGCGGUUAGGCCGGGAACUCAAAGGAGACUGCCAGUGAUAAACUGGAGGAAGGUGGGGAUGACGUCAAGUCAUCAUGGCCCUUACGACCAGGGCUACACACGUGCUACAAUGGCAUAUACAAAGAGAAGCGACCUCGCGAGAGCAAGCGGACCUCAUAAAGUAUGUCGUAGUCCGGAUUGGAGUCUGCAACUCGACUCCAUGAAGUCGGAAUCGCUAGUAAUCGUAGAUCAGAAUGCUACGGUGAAUACGUUCCCGGGCCUUGUACACACCGCCCGUCACACCAUGGGAGUGGGUUGCAAAAGAAGWAGGUAGCUUAACCUUCGGGAGGGCGCKACCAYWGGUGAUCAUGACYGGKU